rnacentral:rRNA from 1 species
UUACGGGAGGCAGCAGUAAGGAAUAUUGGUCAAUGGACGAAAGUCUGAACCAGCCAUGCCGCGUGAAGGAUGAAGGUCCUCUGGAUUGUAAACUUCUUUUAUAUGGGACGAAAAAAGGGUUUUCUAACUCGUCUGACGGUACCAUAUGAAUAAGCACCGGCUAACUCCGUGCCAGCAGCCGCGGUAAUACGGAGGGUGCAAGCGUUAUCCGGAUUCACUGGGUUUAAAGGGUGCGUAGGUGGGUUGGUAAGUCAGUGGUGAAAUCCCCGAGCUUAACUUGGGAACUGCCAUUGAUACUAUCAGUCUUGAAUACCGUGGAGGUCAGCGGAAUAUGUCAUGUAGCGGUGAAAUGCUUAGAUAUGACAUAGAACACCAAUUGCGAAGGCAGCUGGCUACGCGAAUAUUGACACUGAGGCACGAAAGCGUGGGGAUCAAACAGGAUUAGAUACCCGAGUAGUCC